AAAUAAUUUAUCACAAUAUCUGUCACCCCAUUGAUCACCAGGGUUGAUUCAGCUGAUCUAGCUGGCUAGGCAGGUGUUCCCUUCCUCCCUCUAUGUACGCCCCUCCCGAAGCUUUGGGCUCAGUCAAAGAGGAUGAUCACCUCUGAUAAAGGAGGACUGUUCUUCCGACAAAGGUAUAUGAGCAAUUGUGCUCCCUUGCUAGAACCUCCAAACAAGAUCUCAGAUUGUUUCUAUGAAGGAGCUAGCUUCACCACAGAUGUUUAACAAGAAUAUUAAAUUAGAAAAAAAAAUACAAUGGAGGAAUACACUUACCUUUUCUUUUC
rnacentral:snRNA from 1 species